CGUUGUUCGGAUUUACUGGGCGUAAAGGGCGCGUAGGCGGCGUGACAAGUCACUUGUGAAAUCUCUGGGCUUAACCCAGAACAGCCAAGUGAAACUGUUGUGCUAGAGUGCAGAAGGGGCAAUCGGAAUUCUCGGUGUAGCGGUGAAAUGCGUAGAUAUCGAGAGGAACACCAGAGGUGAAGACGGGUUGCUGGGCUGACACUGACGCUGAGGCGCGAAAGCCAGGGGAGCAAACGGG
rnacentral:rRNA from 1 species